UCCAGCAUAGCAUAAUUAUUUAUUUUAAUUCCAAAUGUAAUAAUUAGCACCCGCGGGCUGAGCACACAUAUCCAUGGAUAUGAGAAGGUCUGGCUUAUUCCAGUGACUGAGAACCAUUCUAAAUGGGAGACUUGAGAGACCUGAAUCGGGAGCAGAUAUGACAUUUUUUCCUCAGGGUGGAAAUCUGAGACUUGGUGACAGUUUCCCCAUGCUCAGAAGCUGAAAUGGUGCAGAAGUUAAUAAUGGUAGCCUGAGGUUGCCAGAAAACAGACAGGCCACAUUAUUUAACCCGUGUGCUGCUAGCUAGUCUGACAAACUCACUUGCAAGUCUUUACUAUUACUAAGUUUAGCAUUAACCAUUCAAUUGCCAGACUCCUGAGCAGCACUAACUCAAAUGUCCUCAUUAGACUUGAAAAAAAAAAAAUAAAAAAAAAAAAUUAUCCAAAUCCAAUUCUAAUGCACACCCGGACAAAUUGAUUGUCUGGGACUUUUAUACAUUAAAUAUGACUGCACAGCUAAAUACCAGACGAUCGAUUGGUUCGGGUGAGCAUUAAUAGAAAUUUGAUUCAGACGAAGUAUCCAAAACAAAUUUUUGUAUAAGUCUAGUCCAUAUUAUACGGUGCAUUAAAUCCCAGUACUCUGCUUUGUUAUUUUUUUCGUCUUUAACCCCUUAAGGACACAUGACAUGUGUGACAUGUCAUGAUCCCCUUUUAUUCCAGAUGUUUGGUCCUUAAGGGGUUAAGGAGCUUUUUUGUGUUUUUUUUUUUUUUUUGGUAUAAAGGUUUCACAGUUGUCAAUACCAAUACAACACAGCAAUGUGAGGGUGUAUGACUAUCACAGAACUUCACAGCAAUACAACUCCCAACAAUGUCUUGUAUAUAGGAUUCACAAUAAAAAGCUCAUUUUAAUAUUCAGUGUGUAAAAGUGCAUCACCGAGGUUCACAGCAAUAAAAACGCACAGUGAUAUAUUGAAAACACGAGUAUCACAGAGCUCCACAUAAAAAAAAAUAAAAUCAAAAAUAAAAGUGUAGAAUUAUAUGACAGAGCUCUACUGCAAUAACCCAGUAACGUGCUGUAAGUAUCACAGAGCUCCACACCAGCAUGACUCACAGUGUGUUUGUGUACAUGUACCACAGCAAUAAAACUCACAAUGACGUGUAUGGUGCCUACUGAUUACGUAACACAAAGGGAGCAAAGCCUUCUAAAAAUGUACCACACUGGUAUUUAUACAUCUGUCUAAAUAAAAUCGUUUUGAACAUUUGCAAAGGAAUUACCUAUCCUAUUAAAAUAUUUGUAGGUUUCAAAAUUAAUGAGGAUACUCAGUGUUCUUGGGGACCUGGCACUCAAAUGGUUAAAUAUUGUUCAAAUAAAUUUUUUGUUCUAACAAAAUAUGCAUUGGGAACAUAAGGAAACUAACAGGAAAAGGACACAUCCCUGAUAGAUAGAUAUUAUAUAUAUAUUCUAUGGUAACGUUAACAGAGGCUUGUACAUUAGAUAAACCGCCCCGAUAUGGCAGCAGUUACCGGACAGUACAAAAUAAGUGGAAAAGGAAAGCAAAAUUAUAUAGUUUAAAAUCUACGUAUCCCAUGUUGGCCAUUUUUACGCACUAUUACAGAAAACCACGGAACUACAGAAAAUGGGUUUUAUUUUGCAGAUAUGACAUGUCUUAAUCCACCAACGCAACACUGAUUACGUGGGUAACAGGGAUCAGUGUGUUUGCUUAUAAGGGCUCAGUCCACCAGCAAACUGCUAUUCACGGAAGGGUACUGUUCAAAAAAUGCCUGGAAAAUAACAAAAAACAAAGAUAUUAGACCAACAAAACAAGACAGGAUGUUUAUUUCCCAACACAGUCAGAGUCACAACUUGAAUAUUUUACUCAUUAGUUUAAUAAAGUAGGCCCUAAAUUGUAAGACCAUGGGAUUUACUCUCUAAACAGCAAAUUGUACUGCAUUGACGUCUGUAAACCUGGCUAGUUUGAUCUUCGUUUAAGAAGUUUGUCAUUUCAAACUGUCAACUAGAGUAGAACGCCCAAUACAAUAA
rnacentral:lncRNA from 1 species